UACAGAUAAACAUAUAUCUAACAUCCAAACUCAAACUAAAAACCUGAAAACUGCUAAAAUCAAACUUGACACAUGCAAUAUAAUUAAACUCGGACAAAAUCGUGCAAAAUCACGAAUUUGCACCCGAGUUUAUGAUUUUGCAAAAUGCAGUCUUUAAGGCCAAAACCCACUUUGGACUUUCUACAAACACGUUUCCACCUUCUACACCAUCUUCUCCGUUGCCUCUCAAUCCCAUAGCAAGGCCUUGUAACACUAACCCCUUUUCACAAUCUUCUCCAAGAGUCACAAAGAAAAAACCCGCCUCCAAAUCCCUGGCAUGUUCAUGGGUUGCCAAAUAAUAGUAACAGUAACACUUCAAUUAGCCCAAAAUCCAGUCCUUUUUUGUCCAAUGAUAAUAUACGUUCUGGGUCUGUUUUAGUGCCACCAUUCUCGAGGAAUGGUGGUAAUGGCGGUGGUGAUUGCAGUAAUAAUAGUGUUGAUUUCCCUUAUGAGUAUCAAUUAGAUGAUUAUCUUUCGUUUCUUGAUGACCCCUCUAUAAAAAAUGAGGGCUUUAUGGACCAAAGGGGUUCGAUUGGGUGGUUAUCCGAUUGCUAAUAGAGAUAGCCAUUUGCAUAGAAGGAGAUUUUCAGAGAGCGAUGCGUGUUUUGGUGCUGAAGAUGGGGGUUUUGGUCUUGGGUAUAAGCCUUGUCUGUGUUUUGCUAGAGAGUUCUGCAAGAAUGGAGAAAGUUGCAAGUUUGUUCAUGGUGGUGGUGUUCUCGUGGGUUCACCAAGGGAAACGGAGGAGCUUUAUUUGCAACUGCAAGAGGAGAUGAUGAGAAUGAAGGCUGCAUAGCAACAGCAGCAACAAAGGUUGGUUUUUUCUUUUGCAGCAACAGAAUAAAACCGAGCGGUAGAGGACAUUAUUGUUCAACUGAGCAAUCCCUUACUUAUAUACAAGAUGAGACCAAGGGUACAUCGUAGGUUAACUUACUUCAAAGUUUCUUAGAAUAACGAUGACGAUGAAGGCAAGUUAAAGGUAAUGAGACUGCUUUUAAUUUAUAUUAUAUAUUAAUAGAUUAUUUGUUUGAGGUUUGUUAUUUUUUUUAAAUAAAAUUUUAUAAAUAUAUUAUAAUGCAUUGUAUUUUUAAAUUACCUAAAUUAUGUAGAAAUUUUUAUUUAAACUAUUUAUUUUAUUUUUAAGAUGAUUGAA